CUAGUGAGACUGCCUACGCAAGUAGAGAGGAAGGUGGGGAUGACGUCAAAUCAUCACGGCCCUUACGCCUUGGGCCACACACGUAAUACAAUGGCCGGUACAGAGGGCAGCUACACUGCGAAGUGAUGCAAAUCUCGAAAGCCGGUCUCAGUUCGGAUUGGAGUCUGCAACUCGACUCUAUGAAGCUGGAAUCGCUAGUAAUCGCGCAUCAGCCAUGGCGCGGUGAAUACGUUCCCGGGCCUUGUACACACCGCCCGUCAAGCCAUGGAAGUCUGGGGUACCUGAAGUCGGUGACCGUAACAGGAGCUGCCUAGGGUAAAACAGGUAACUAGGGCUAAGUCGUAACAAGGUAGCCGUACCGGAAGGUGCGGCUGGAACAUCUCAUUUUAGA
rnacentral:rRNA from 1 species